ACUCAAAUGAAUAGACGGGGGCCCGCACAAGCAGCGGAGCAUGUGGUUUAAUUCGAAGCAACGCGAAGAACCUUACCAAGGCUUGACAUCCCUUGACAGCUGUGGAAACACAGACUUCCCUUUUGGGACAAGGAGACAGGUGGUGCAUGGUUGUCGUCAGCUCGUGUCGUGAGAUGUUGGGUUAAGUCCCGCAACGAGCGCAACCCCUGUGAACAGUUACCAAUAUUAAGUUAGGGACUCUGUUCAGACUGCCGUGGACAACACGGAGGAAGGUGGGGACGACGUCAAAUCAUCAUGCCCCUUAUGUCUUGGGCUACACACGUGCUACAAUGGCCGCAACAGAGGGCAGCGAAGCGGUAACGUGAAGCGAAUCUCAUAAAAGCGGUCCCAGUUCGGAUUGUGGGCUGCAACCCGCCCACAUGAAGACGGAGUUGCUAGUAAUCGCGAAUCAGCAUGUCGCGGUGAAUGCGUUCCCGGGCCUUGCACACACCGCCCGU
rnacentral:rRNA from 1 species